UAGGGAAUCUUCGGCAAUGGACGAAAGUCUGACCGAGCAACGCCGCGUGAGUGAAGAAGGUUUUCGGAUCGUAAAACUCUGUUGUUAGAGAAGAACAAGGACGUUAGUAACUGAACGUCCCCUGACGGUAUCUAACCAGAAAGCCACGGCUAACUACGUGCCAGCAGCCGCGGUAAUACGUAGGUGGCAAGCGUUGUCCGGAUUUAUUGGGCGUAAAGCGAGCGCAGGCGGUUUCUUAAGUCUGAUGUGAAAGCCCCCGGCUCAACCGGGGAGGGUCAUUGGAAACUGGGAGACUUGAGUGCAGUAGAGGAGAGUGUAAUUCCAUGUGUAGCGGUGAAAUGCGUAGAUAUAUGGAGGAACACCAGUGGCGAAGGCGGCUCUCUGGUCUGUAACUGACGCUGAGGCUCGAAAGCGUGGGGAGCAAACAGG
rnacentral:rRNA from 1 species